rnacentral:misc_RNA from 1 species
GAUGAAGAACGCAGCGAAAUGCGAUAAGUAGUGUGAAUUGCAGAAUUCAGUGAAUCAUCGAAUCUUUGAACGCACAUUGCGCCCCUUGGUAUCCCGAGGGGCAUGCCUGUUCGAGCGUCAUUUCACCACUCAAGCCUGGCUUGGUGUUGGGCGACGUCCCCUUUGGGGACGCGCCUCGAAACGCUCGGCGGCGUGGCACCGGCUUUAAGCGUAGCAGAAUCUUUCGCUUUGGAAGUCGGGGCCCCGUCUGCCGGAAGACCUACUCGCAAGGUUGACCUCGGAUCAGGCAGGGAUACCCGCUGAACUUAAGCAUAUCAAUAAGCGG